rnacentral:rRNA from 1 species
UUAAGAUCCUUAAAUUCAAAGAAUUUGGCGGUAGUUAAGUCUUUUUAGAGGAACCUGUUCUGUAAUUGAUAAUCCACGAUUGAUUUUACUUUAAUUUUAUUUGUAUACCUCUGUCAAUGAAUGUAUUUUAAGAUUAAUCUUCUUUAUUUUUUGUGAAUAGAUGUUAGGUCAAGGUGCAGUUUUAUUAAAGAAGAAAUGGGUUACAAUAAUUUUUUUUUGGAAAAGUUUAUGAAAUUUAAUUUUGAAAUUGGAUUUAAAAGUAAUGUUUUCUAAAUUAGAAAUAUUGAUUAAGCUCUUAACUAU